rnacentral:rRNA from 1 species
AUGGCGUCCUUGACCAAUCUCAUCAUACUACUACCACUUCUCUUCCUCGCCACCCUCUCUCCUACACCCUCACUGUGCUAUAUCAGUCCAGCUGCUGCAAGGGUACAGCAGGGUUCUACAGGAACCUCUGCUUACCGCACUUACAUCGUACUCGUCGACCCACCUCCCUCAAGUGCCGGCGAAGUCGGGCAUCGUCGGUGGUAUGAGACUUUCUUGCCGAGCUCUCACAUCGGCGAAUCUGGCGAGCCACGUCUCCUCCACACCUACACCGAGGUGUUCAGCGGCUUCACGGUGAGGCUCACUGAUGCCGAGCUCGACGCGAUGGCCAAGAAACCAGACCGGAUGCUGCAGCUCAUGACCACGCACACGCCAGAGUUCCUCGGGCUGAGGAGUGGCACCGGGUUUUGGAGCGACACACGCUACGGGAAGGGAGUGAUUGUCGGGAUGCUUGACAGCGGAAUCUAUGCAGCACACCCUUCGUUCGACGAUCAUGACAAAGUGGAAAGGCUCGUGCAGGGAGGUCAGGUGCAACAACAAGCUCAUCGGUGCCAAAUCAUUCAUUGCCGGUGA